CGCCUGGGAGUGAGGGCCCCGAGCGGUCUAGCCCCCAUAACCAUCUGUCUUAGAUCUUGAGACCUGAGCACUUUGAGAGGAUUCAUUAUAGGUUCGGAUAUAUGCUAACAGCUACUGGUCCGAUGCGAGCAUCUCCUCACAUGCUUCCGGGAUCAUCAGUCGGGAGCAACUUGAUGAGAUCUUGAUACAGGCAUUUCAGGCUGAAGAGCGCGCAUCUCAGGCUGAAAAGCACGCAUAC
rnacentral:lncRNA from 1 species